rnacentral:pre_miRNA from 1 species
AAAGUUCUCCCUCCGUCCCAAAAUUCUUGUCUUAGAUUUUUCUAGAUACAGAUGUAUCAAGUCACAUUUUAGUAUUAGAUACAUCCGUAUCUAGACAAAUCUAAGACAAGAAAUUUGGGACAGAGGGAGUAGUUG